AGUUUGAUCCUGGCUCAGGAUGAACGCUAGCUACAGGCUUAACACAUGCAAGUCGAGGGGAAACGACAUCGAAAGCUUGCUUUUGAUGGGCGUCGACCGGCGCACGGGUGAGUAACGCGUAUCCAACCUGCCCAUCACUUGGGGAUAACCUUGCGAAAGUAAGACUAAUACCCAAUGAUAUCUCUAGAAGACAUCUGAAGGAGAUUAAAGAUUUGUCGGUGAUGGAUGGGGAUGCGUCUGAUUAGCUUGUUGGCGGGGUAACGGCCCACCAAGGCGACGAUCAGUAGGGGUUCUGAGAGGAAGGUCCCCCACAUUGGAACUGAGACACGGUCCAAACUCCUACGGGAGGCAGCAGUGAGGAAUAUUGGUCAAUGGACGAGAGUCUGAACCAGCCAAGUAGCGUGCAGGAUGACGGCCCUAUGGGUUGUAAACUGCUUUUAUAAGGGAAUAAAGUGAGUCUCGUGAGGCUUUUUGCAUGUACCUUAUGAAUAAGGACCGGCUAAUUCCGUGCCAGCAGCCGCGGUAAUACGGAAGGUCCGGGCGUUAUCCGGAUUUAUUGGGUUUAAAGGGAGCGUAGGCCGGAGAUUAAGCGUGUUGUGAAAUGUAGACGCUCAACGUCUGCACUGCAGCGCGAACUGGUUUCCUUGAGUACGCACAAAGUGGGCGGAAUUCGUGGUGUAGCGGUGAAAUGCUUAGAUAUCACGAAGAACUCCGAUUGCGAAGGCAGCUCACUGGAGCGCAACUGACGCUGAAGCUCGAAAGUGCGGGUAUCGAACAGGAUUAGAUACCCUGGUAGUCCGCACGGUAAACGAUGGAUGCCCGCUGUUGGUCUGAAUAGGUCAGCGGCCAAGCGAAAGCAUUAAGCAUCCCACCUGGGGAGUACGCCGGCAACGGUGAAACUCAAAGGAAUUGACGG
rnacentral:rRNA from 1 species